GCAGUCUUCUGCUGUUGUCCGGUAUGACGGUCUGCCAGGAGGACAGUACUGCAUUACGGCUGAUCCAAUCACCGAGCGCUGUUUACCCGCCGACUUUUGCCACAGACUGGCUACCUCAACUUUCCGCGUCAAAGGAGUUGGGACACCAGGAGCACAGGUCUGACUGACAACGAACAUUGCUGGGCAUCACUGUCGGCAAAAAAGAAGAAAAAAGAAGAAAAAAAAAGAAAGGCCAACGGCUGCAUUGGAU